AUUGAACGCUGGCGGCAGGCCUAACACAUGCAAGUCGAACGGUAACAGGAAGAAGCUUGCUUCUUUGCUGACGAGUGGCGGACGGGUGAGUAAUGUCUGGGAAACUGCCUGAUGGAGGGGGAUAACUACUGGAAGCGGUAGCUAAUACCGCAUAACGUCGCAAGACCAAAAAGGGGGACCUUCGGGCCUCUUGCCAUCGGAUGUGCCCAGAUGGGAUUAGCUAGUAGGUGGGGUAACGGCUCACCUAGGCGACGAUCCCUAGCUGGUCUGAGAGGAUGACCAGCCACACUGGAACUGAGACACGGUCCAGACUCCUACGGGAGGCAGCAGUGGGGAAUAUUGCACAAUGGGCGCAAGCCUGAUGCAGCCAUGCCGCGUGUAUGAAGAAGGCCUUCGGGUUGUAAAGUACUUUCAGCGGGGAGGAAGGGAGUAAAGUUAAUACCUUUGCUCAUUGACGUUACCCGCAGAAGAAGCACCGGCUAACUCCGUG
rnacentral:rRNA from 1 species